UCAAUACGGGACGCAAGUUGUUCCGUAUUUUCAUAAAUGCCCCGUACACGUCUGUCACGCACUCAUCAAAACUGCAUAAUGAAUAAAAUAAAACACAGGAAAUAUUAAGGGCAGCCAAUUUCAUCUUCGUAGGACCCAUGUAGCGAGGACCCGAUGCCAGGUCCAGUGGACAGACUUCAGACGUCUCUGUGUGUCCCGUCCUGUCCGGUCCUGUCUCUGGUUGCCAGGUUACAGACGCUGCUGCACCCGCACGUUUAAAAAUGUCUACACCUGAAACUCCACCACGUCUAAAGAAGCAAAAACGUUUGCAAAUGUACAGACUGGAGUGGGAAGAGUGGAACCCCUGGCGGUGGGUACAAGGCAAACUGUGUUUUCUGUUGCUCAUGGACCGGCUGAAGUAAGGCAGCAUCAGGAGACAAACAUGGAGGAAAUAUGAGAACAGAGAGAACCCAACCAGCAGGUCACAGUUUAUCAUCAUCUAAUCAUCUCCUGAAGUCGAUAUGGUCCCUCUCUAUCUCCCCACACAUCCACCAACCACUGGAACACAUCUCCAAAGUUCUGCCGGGCCAGCUCAGCUUCCCCUCAGAAGAAGUGCUGCCACCUGCCAGAUGAAGGAGCCUUUUGAGAGGCAGCUGGCAUCGUGAUUGGACUGUACUUUGGUCUGUUCCAAUCCAGCUUCAGCUCCAGAGACGGCAGGCGGGACGAGUCAACGGAGGCCUGGUGGACGAAGGCAUGCAGCUGAGUACAAUCCAGAAAACAACAGAGGAGGAGUGCAGCGUUCCAGGGCCAGAACAAACAGAGUAGCAUCGUAUGUCUCUUAGAAAACAUCAUAGUAUAGCCUUUGGUAUGAAAAAACGCCAUCAUAUACAUCAUAUAUUGUACAAAUAACAAGUCAAAGGAAAGAGACAUACAUUGUAGAAUUGUAGUAAUUGUGGGCUGACUGAUUUACUGAUUAUCAGUAUUUUAUUUUUUACUGAUUUAUGGUAAUAAAUCAAUUUAAAAAUGGUGCUACUAAUUUGGCUCUGAACCUUCAUCUACCUGUGGUCGCUCUGUCUUCUGGAGUGAUUUGAUUGGUUAUAUGUCACGAAUAAAACUCCUUUAACUUAACAUCUGUAAACAAAACAAAAACGUAUCAGCAAAGUUUCCUGUUAGAGUUUGUGUUCUUCUAAGUUUAACUCCAAGAUUUUAAAUACUUUCAUUUACUGCAAAUGAAUAUCGACUCCAAAUGUCUCACUAAUAAUCAUUAUCAGCCUUAAAAACCCACAAAACACCCCUUUAUACUCGACCACACUUAGUACAGUCUGGUUCCCCCUUCUAUAAAUCUGCUUGGAAUCGUCCACUUCCUGUUUGUCAAAGUGGCCUUCUACCUGGACAGGUUUUGUUGGAGCUCAUGCAACAAACAUUUUGGGUAACUGCACUUUAAUAUGGAUGGAUGACACUGAAUUAGAGUCUGUUUUAAGGAGACUGAGUUAAGAUGUGUAGCUCUGUCAUUAAAUAGGAAAUUAUUUCUCAGAAUUCACAGAGAAAAGUCUGAAAUGUUUGCUAGGUUAGCGUCCCACAUGUUCUUUGGCUCAGCUAAAGCUAACUCUCUCCAACUUGAUCUCUUGAGUUGUUUGUUGUUAAAAUAUCUUGCUACAUUUGCUGAAGCUCAGAAAGUCUGAGAUGUUUGUUCAAAAUAAGCUCAUUCUCAAGUCUUAUCUGAACUGUCCUCUUUUGUUUGAACUUUCCCUAAACUUAGGAGUUAAUGACAGAGCAGCACAUCCAGACUCAGUCUCAUUUAUGUAGAGAUUAAACUUCAGUGUCAUUCAUUGAUGUUAAAGUGCAGUUUUUCAAAUGUUUGUUGCACAUGCUCCCGACCAAACCAGUCCAGGUGGAAGACGAUGUGAAGAGAAAGCUCCAGAGGAUGAAUAUCACACAUUUACGUUGGAAAUAAAUGUCCUUUAAUUAGACAUUGUCAUGCAAAAGUUGGAUUUCCCUUUAAUGAUGUUCAAAUCUUUGUUGAGUGUUUUGUUGAUGUUGGUUUCUAAAUGUUUUCUGACACUCGGCCCCAAAGAUUAAAACCUUUUACGGCUCACAAGCUGCAACAAUUCA